UGAGCAGUCAUAAGGUAGCCU
rnacentral:miRNA from 1 species